UACGAAGGGGGCUAGCGUUGCUCGGAAUCACUGGGCGUAAAGCGCACGUAGGCGGAUUGCUAAGUCAGGGGUGAAAUCCUGGAGCUCAACUCCAGAACUGCCUUUGAUACUGAAAAUCUUGAGUCCGGGAGAGGUGAGUGGAACUGCGAGUGUAGAGGUGAAAUUCGUAGAUAUUCGCAAGAACACCAGUGGCGAAGGCGGCUCACUGGCCCGGUACUGACGCUGAGGUGCGAAAGCGUGGGGAGCAAACGGG
rnacentral:rRNA from 1 species